rfam:Postia placenta Mad-698-R POSPLscaffold_282_Cont7956, whole genome shotgun sequence.
GCCAUCUUGGCGCAAUCGGUAGCGCAUCACCUUCCUAUAUGCUCAUAUAUGGGCGGGGAUCAGGUGGGGGCUGCGGGUUCGAUUCCCGUAGGUGGUA